UUCUAAUUAGUAUAAGUUAGUACAUUUAAUUUCCAAUUAAGAAGUUAUAUUAGAAA
rnacentral:tRNA from 1 species